UGUAUAUUUUAAAUCCGCAUUACAUAUAAGCAUAUUAAUUAUGAGUUGCUUUAGCAAUUUGGCAAUUAUCACAAUUAAUUACUUCUGUUCUGCCACUUUAUUUGAGAAAAAAUAAGGCUGUGCCUUUUUAUGAACAUCAUUUGUGAUUGCGCCCUUGUUGAAUUCGCCUGCUGUCAAAACAUGAAUCCAAUUACGCCCGCCAUCCAAGUCCAAUUGGAAAAUCAGGUGUCAAGUGCGCCUCUUUGUUUUGACAUUUUGUUCUCAGCUGUUGCAAUUGCGCCCUUCUGCACUAGUUUGUUUUUUCAAUAGUAAAGUGAAGAUAAACAUAUUUGUGAACUGAAAAUGAACUCUUUCACUGAUUAUAUCACCUUGAUGCUGCGGGAGUGCUCUGAGCUAGGCUCCGAGAUGUUUGCCGCCUACAAUGUGAAGAAGUCUGAGGAACCCCGGAAGUCCAGUCUCUUUAGCUGCGCAACUGAAUCUGAUUGUCACUCCUUCGGAUAGAUUCGAUAGCAUCCUUGGCAGCACCAUCAUUCUAUCGCAAUUAUUGAUUGACCAGAUCCGCUUUCCGGUCGGGUGGCAUCUGUGACUUGCAUUCACUGCUCGUACGACGAGGCUUCUCAGAUUAUUGGCUUCCUUCUGUGGGUCGCAGUAAGUAUAUGUAAAGCAUUUUAUCAAAAUUACUUAUAUUCAGAUGAAAGUCAGAAUUAUCGAAACGCGAAAAUAUCUGUUUUCCCCAAAUCUAUACGUUGAACCAUUGGUUAAAUUUUAUGUCGGGCAGAUUAUAUCAGCGGAUCUGGUGUGCUACACUGUGCACCUUAUGCCCGACGUAGCUUCAACGCAUGGAUUUGGAGAAAAUCGGGUUUUCGCGUGUCGAAAAUUACGAUUUUCAACUGUGUGAAUAUUACAUUUCCGCGAAUUAAAUGCAAUGCAUCUAUUUGACGACUUCUCUGCACUUUUUCUUUAGCUUAUGACAAAUGCAAUGAAUGCACGAUGUCGAUUCACGUGACCUUUCGAUUUUAUUUGUUAAAAAAUUGAAUUUCGAGUUAAAUUGCAAAUGCAACUCAUGUUAAGGAUCUCACUUAUCGUUAGCAAACUAAUAACAGUAAUAAUAAGUAAAAUUAUGUGGAAAAUGAGUACAAAUAUGUAAAAUGCCCAUUAUAGAAUUUGAAGUUUAGAUAAGCCCUUUUGUCACCAUAUGUUCUGUAUACAGGAAAAUGGGCGAAAUGGCACUCAAGGAAAAACCAGUUCAUUUUUCAAUUACGCCCAUUUGUUUUUUUAGUUUUACUUGAUAUUAAGAUCAAUAAAAUUAAAAUUUUA